ACUGCUCAGUAACACGUGGAUAACCUGCCCUUGGGACCGGGAUAACCCCGGGAAACUGGGGAUAAUACCGGAUAACGCAUAUCUGCUGGAAUGCUUUAUGCGUAAAAUGGAUUUGUCUGCCCAAGGAUGGGUCUGCGGCCUAUCAGGUAGUAGUGGGUGUAAUGUACCUACUAGCCUACGACGGGUACGGGUUGUGAGAGCAAGAGCCCGGAGAUGGAUUCUGAGACAUGAAUCCAGGCCCUACGGGGCGCAGCAGGCGCGAAAACUUUACAAUGCGGGAAACCGUGAUAAGGGGACACCGAGUGCCAGCAUCAUAUGUUGGCUGUCCAGAUGUGUAAAAUACAUCUGUUAGCAAGGGCCGGGCAAGACCGGUGCCAGCCGCCGCGGUAACACCGGCGGCCCGAGUGGUGAUCGUGAUUAUUGGGUCUAAAGGGUCCGUAGCCGGUUUGGUCAGUCCUCCGGGAAAUCUGACGGCUCAACCGUUAGGCUUUCGGUGGAUACUGCCAGACUUGGAACCGGGAGAGGUAAGAGGUACUACAGGGGUAGGAGUGAAAUCUUGUAAUCCCUGUGAGACCACCUGUGGCGAAGGCGUCUUACCAGAACGGGUUCGACGGUGAGGGACGAAAGCUGGGGGCACGAACCGGAUUAGAUACCCGGGUAGUCCCAGCCGUAAACGAUGCUCGCUAGGUGUCAGGCAUGGCGCGACCGUGUCUGGUGCCGCAGGGAAGCCGUGAAGCGAGCCACCUGGGAAGUA
rnacentral:rRNA from 1 species